rnacentral:rRNA from 1 species
UACGGAGGGGGCAAGCGUUGUUCGGAAUUACUGGGCGUAAAGGGCUCGUAGGCGGCCAACUAAGUCAUACGUGAAAUCCCUCGGCUUAACCGGGGAACUGCGUCUGAUACUGGAUGGCUUGAGAUUGGGAGAGGGAAGCGGAAUUCCAGGUGUAGCGGUGAAAUGCGUAGAUAUCCGGAGGAACACCGGUGGCGAAGGCGGCUUCCUGGACCGACACUGACGCUGAGGCGCGAAAGCUAGGGGAGCAAACGGG